rnacentral:rRNA from 1 species
AAAUUGAAGAGUUUGAUCAUGGCUCAGAUUGAACGCUGGCGGCAGGCCUAACACAUGCAAGUCGAACGGUAACAGGAAACAGCUUGCUAUUUCGCUGACGAGUGGCGGACGGGUGAGUAAUGUCUGGGAAACUGCCUGAUGGAGGGGGAUAACUACUGGAAACGGUAGCUAAUACCGCAUAACGUCGCAAGACCAAAGAGGGGGACC